GUUUUUCCCCCUAGCUCCUUUGGUGCAAGAAACAGAGCAGAGCUUCCUUGACGGCUGACGCCCCACUAAAACAUGGUGUGACUUAUAAUAGGCGCCUGCCGCUAUGUGGCUAGGAAAAUAACAGCCUCCCUGCGCGGAGAGACUCUGGGGGAGCCCAUAUCCGUGUCCAAGAGUCGGGUCUGCCAACCUGGCAACCAAAACCCCACAACAGGCAGCCAAAACCACACAAUAAUGCCCCCACCUACACACUGCUCUGUGGACCAGAGGUGCCCCCCUCGAUCUGCUUUAGAAGUUGAGGCCCGGAAGCCUCCUACAUGAUGGAACAAAAUGGAGGACGGAAAGCAGCGAAUGACGGUUCAUUUGCCAACUCCUGGAUAGGCAGGAACUGAGUGGACCUGAGAAUCUGUCUGCCUCUCUCGCCUCCCCGUUUAACUCCGAAAAUAAAAUGCUUCCC